AUCGAGCUGACGAGUCCCAAAUAGAACGAAGUGGCGCGUGUCCUGGAU
rnacentral:hammerhead_ribozyme from 1 species